CAUACGAUGACUUGAAAUAAAACCCUUAUUCUGUGGGCUGAAUUCAGACAGAAAUCAGACAGAAUUUAGCUUUAUGUUAAAGACUGUUGUGCAAGUACCCUCUUGUAGCAGGAGUGAGCGGCUGCAGCUUUCUAAUUUAUUUAUCGUUAUUUGAUUUGUUUCUUGGAUUGACUUGGUGUCUGGAGCUUUGUGGUUAACAGUGAUCAUCUAAACAUUGUGGUUGGAAUCAUCCCAAAUGGCUGGCAAAAGAUUGCUUGUAACUGUCAGUGUAGAACAGGAAAGGCAGGUAUAGGUUAGGGAGGGCAUCCAUCGGUGAGCUCUGACUGGAUAUGAGGACCUGUCACACUUGACCAGAGAUGAAGGCUGCAGCACAUUCCUGGAUCAGAGGACUCCAUGUUGGACACCACAACCUGGAGAAUUUCCGUCCUGGAUGGCUGCGGUGAUGACCUCUCCCAAGAUGAACCGACCCUUGUACGACGAGAACUUUGCCCAAGACGAACCGACCCUUCUACGACGAGGACUUCACCCAAGAUGAACCAACCCGUAGAAAGAUGAACCGACCCUUCUACGACAAGGACUUUACCCAAGAUGAACCGACCCUUCUACGAUGACGCCUCUUUUCCACGGAAUGUCUUCAGGAACAACCUGCUUCCUGCUCACGGAGACCUGGUCAGACCCACCAUAUACAAAAGCCUGAGCAUGUCAAAAAAAAGAUUUAUGGCUUUGAUUUAAAAGUUAAUUUUGGUCUUGAAUAUCCGUUAUCAUAGUUGCAACUUGGACUGUUGACAAAUGUAGAAGCUUUAUUCUCAACUGUUGAUUGCUUUGUUAAGAUAACUGAUUCCUGAUUUGAUUAUGAAGUUAAACUUUUGAUUUAUAUCCAAGUGUAGUCACAUUAGAUUGUAGGUGUUAUUCAGCCCAUGGAUAGUUUUAUGAUGUGCUUUAAAUCUGGCAUUUGUUGGCACACUUGAUAACCAUUAAAGUCUUAAACUUAAUGCACUGCCAUCAACCUUUGUAGUCGCUAACUGAAAUCGAAUUCAAUAUUAAUGCUGACUUGUCUCACUCUGCCAAGUUUAUUUCCCUCUAAAGGAGUUGAACCUUUUUGUGUUCAUAGUCUUUUUGCGCGUCAUGUUGGGAGGCCUCCCAGCAGGGGAUUUUUAUCUUCCCCUGCAAAACAAUGCGUUACUCGCCUUAGGGAUGCAGGGCUAUCCUGCAUAGUUUCUUACAUAAAUGGGAUUGUAGGUUGCAGGAUUAGAGCGCGUUUCUUUUCUUUAGGCGGACACAAACCUGGCAGAGAGACAACUCAGAUUAAUUGUAGCAGGAGUGAGCAGCUGCAGCUUUUACAUUUUAUUAAAUCGUUUAAAUCGUUAUUUGAUUUAUUUCUUGGAUUGACUUGGUGUCUGGAGCUUUGUGGUUAACCCUGAUCAUGUAAACGUGUAAACACAAGUGGUCUUUUGGCUCUUAUUUGCGAAGCUGGCAGCUGGUUGAAAUGGUAGGACUUUAUGGCUUGCCCAAAGUGGGAUUUUUGAUAGAGCAUAGGGUUAACGUCUCACCAUACACUAGCUAUUUCAGUGAACAAGUGUCUGUAGUCUGUUAUUAUCCGUGACUUUCUUUCAAAUUUCACAAUUUAGGCAGCUUGUAGAGUCAUUAGGAAGAUGCUUAAUCCGAAUGUCUUGGUUGGUUGCAUGAGAAACAGCUAUCUCUUAGAUGUGUUGGUGAAGUUCCUCUGAUUUUUGUAGACUUGCCCUAAAGUUUCUCUCCGCUUUAACUCUUGUUGAGCUAUGCAUUAAAUGAUUCCUCCAACUUGUCUCAAUUUUUUUCUCCCUGCAGCCUUCCACCACCCACUGCUGCUGUUGCAUAUGCUAAAGGUAGUCGUUUCCUGAUUCACUGCGUCUUCAUGUGUUGGGUAAGAAGUGUCAUUAGACUACUAACAAUGUAAACACCUUUUAAAUGCUUGAUCUAAUUUACCCAAAUGGUUCAUCAGUUUAGGACAGAAAAUCAUUGAAUUUGACAUUCUUGGGGUCAGUAACCUGACCUCUAAAUGUUUGGGAAACCAUGCAAAAGAUCGUGAGCUCUCUGCAUGACCCAACAGCACUGAUGUUUGAGUGAUUUAAUUGCUCAGUUUUUAAAUCAGUCAAGAUUUUAUGAGCUGGGUCUUCUUCACACAACAGAGAACAAGGUAAAUUGAGUCGACUCGUAACAUGGUAAGGCAUUCGUCCUUCCCCUUCUUCUCUGUGUGUGAGGAAAUCUGGCCACGGAUCCUGACUGAGUGGCAUACCAUGGCUGUGCAGUUUCCAAAAUCAGAUAAGGAUCCAUCUGAUUUUGUGACUCAGCCUGUCAUGAUAUGCAUUUAUCUUCCUCCAAAACAAAUGAUUAGAAUUGACAGGUUUGUAGUGUAAAUCACAUCACAUGUAGAUGGUGAAGCAUUUGUUUAAAUUGGGAUCAAGCAUUUUCAGGUGUCUGCUUUGUCAAUACUCUGGUGCCACGUCUUGCUAAACACACGAGAAGCUCUGAUAUGUGAAACUG